rnacentral:lncRNA from 1 species
CCCCUAUUAAUAGAUUUUGUUAAAUUUUCACUUUUAAAAAAAUUGUGCAGAAUUUAUCUUUAUUUCAAAUAAAGAAAUACUUGGCAUGAGAAAAUUGUUAUCCUAUUUAGUACUAUAGACAAAACUUUACGUAACCUUUCAAUGCAUAUAAGAAAAUAACCCUCACUGGAAUUUACCAAUCAAUUCAAGGGAAUAUUUGUUUCAACCCUUUUUCAUAUGCAACCUGAUGUGACAUACUAUAAUAUGGUGGUACAUGCAAUACACAUAAAGGAGAACCAAUUCAAAUGUUCUUCUUAAAUCUUA